GACGAACGCUGGCGGCGUGCUUAACACAUGCAAGUCGAACGAUGAAGCUGGAGCUUGCUCUGGUGGAUUAGUGGCGAACGGGUGAGUAACACGUGAGUAACCUGCCCUGAACUCUGGGAUAAGCGUUGGAAACGACGUCUAAUACCGGAUAGGACCUUGGAUCGCAUGAUCUGGGGUGGAAAGUUUUUCGGUUUGGGAUGGACUCGCGGCCUAUCAGCUUGUUGGUGAGGUAAUGGCUCACCAAGGCGUCGACGGGUAGCCGGCCUGAGAGGGUGACCGGCCACACUGGGACUGAGACACGGCCCAGACUCCUACGGGAGGCAGCAGUGGGGAAUAUUGCACAAUGGGCGCAAGCCUGAUGCAGCAACGCCGCGUGCGGGAUGACGGCCUUCGGGUUGUAAACCGCUUUUAGUAGGGAAGAAGGGCUUCGGCUUGACGGUACCUGCAGAAAAAGGACCGGCUAACUACGUGCCAGCCGCCGCCGUAAGAC
rnacentral:rRNA from 1 species